GCCAUUUGGGCUGCUCUUCCUAUGGAGUAGCACUCUUUUAUUCCUUUACUUUCAUAAUAAACUUGCUUUCACUUUAUGGACUUGCCCUGAAUUCAAUCUUGUGUGAGGCCCAAGAACCCCCUCUUGGAGUCUGGAUCGGGAGCUCUUUCAGUGAUGAAAACGAACAAACAACAAAAUCACCUCGUGCUGCUCAAGUUGGUGGUCAUUACUUCAUUUCGACUAUGUCAUCAGUACCUGGACAUGAGGACACUUGAAACACUUUCAAUAUGAGCUCUAGAGCUUCUGAUGGUGUCAACUUGGCUGAAUUAAGAAAUAUCUAGCAAUCUGGUAAAGCAUUAUUUUUGCUUGUGUCUGUGAAGAUGUUUCCAGAGGAGACUAAUAUGUGAGUCUGAGUGGAGAAGAUGAGAAGAUCUUUCCUCAGUGCGAGUGGGCAUCCAAAAAGGCAAGACCAGAAAGAACAAGAACAGAGGAAAGGUGAAUGUGUGCACCCAUCUGCUGAAGUUGGAAUACAUAAUUCUCCUAUCCCUGGACAACAACUCCAGGCUCCCCUAUCUUUGGAGUCGAGAACUUAUACAAGUGGUCCUUGAGUUCUCAAGCCUUUGGUCUUGAACUAAGAGUGACAUCAUUCAUUGGCUUCCCUCAUUCUGAGGCCUUUGGACUUAGACUGAGCAAUGCUACCAGAAUUCCAGGGUCUCCAGCUUGCAGAUGGCCUGUUACAGGACUUCUCAGCCUCCGUAAUCAUGUCAGCCAACCUCUCUAACAAGUCUCCUCUCAUAUAUCUGUGUCUAUAUCUACAAAUUCUGUCUCUCUGGAGAACCCUGAUUAACAAAACAUGGUCAUAUGAGUGAACUGACUGCAGAGUCCCUUCUUACAACUCAAUUCAUAGGAACUACUUAAUUUUUAUUCAUACAUUUUAGUUACCUAACAUAUCCCUUACUAAUUUCAAAUUACACAUCACAGUUUCUAAGCAGCUCAUUUGUACACAUAUAUCAAUGUAAUCAGAGAACAAAUUCAUGAAUUCUUCCUAUAAAUAUGAAUUUAUAUGAAAGUCUCAUAAAAGUGUGCAAGUAUGUAAAAAAUAUCAACUUCUAAGUCCAUAACAAGAAAAAGGGACCCUGUAGAAAACUUGAAAUUUGAAAUAAAGCAAAGUAUUCUUUGGCUAAAGCUAACCUUCUCUUAAACAUUAACACGUGUUUACUAGCACACUUCUUGUGGAAAUGCACCACCACCUAGCUGACAUACAACACUAGGAAACUCAUGAAUGCUCUUGAAAUACCAGAUGCUUUUCUUUUUGUAAGAGUUCAUAACAACUCAUAACAUACUUGCCCUUUCCCCCUGGAAUCAAGCAUCAAUUUGAUAGCACCUAA